GGUUGACCUCGGAUCAGGUAGGAGUUACCCGCUGAACUUAAGCAUAUCAAUAAGCGGAGGAAAAGAAACCAACCGGGAUUGCCUCAGUAACGGCGAGUGAAGCGGCAAGAGCUCAAAUUUGAAAUCUGGCCCCUUGGGGUCCGAGUUGUAAUUUGCAGAGGAUGCUUCGGGUGCGGUCCCCGUCUAAGUGCCCUGGAACGGGCCGUCAUAGAGGGUGAGA
rnacentral:rRNA from 1 species